AUGUUCGUCUCCUGCGUGAUGCUCCUCGUGGUCCUGCUGAUGGCCACGCAGAUAGCCGCGGCGGCGGCGGCGGGCGACGAGGGCGGCACGGCACGCCGGCUCCUGCGAUGCGGCUACAGAAACUGCAACUGCCGCACUUGCCCCAUAUAUGGCUGGGCGUGUUGCGGCAUGUGUUGCUCGGUGUAG
rnacentral:rRNA from 1 species